UACGGAGGGGGCUAGCGUUGUUCGGAAUUACUGGGCGUAAAGCGUACGUAGGCGGCUUUGUAAGUUAGAGGUGAAAGCCCGGGGCUCAACUCCGGAAUUGCCUUUAAGACUGCAUCGCUUGAAUCAUGGAGAGGUGAGUGGAAUUCCGAGUGUAGAGGUGAAAUUCGUAGAUAUUCGGAAGAACACCAGUGGCGAAGGCGACUCACUGGACAUGUAUUGACGCUGAGGUACGAAAGCGUGGGAAGCAAACAGG
rnacentral:rRNA from 1 species